GAUGAACGCUGGCGGCGUGCUUAACACAUGCAAGUCGAACGGAAAGGCUCCUGCUUGCAGGGGUACUCGAGUGGCGAACGGGUGAGUAACACGUGGGUGAUCUGCCCUGCACUUCGGGAUAAGCCUGGGAAACUGGGUCUAAUACCGGAUAGGACGAUGGUUUGGAUGCCAUUGCGGAAAGUUUUUCGGUGUGGGAUGAGCUCGCGGCCUAUCAGCUUGUUGGUGGGGUAAUGGCCUACCAAGGCGUCGACGGGUAGCCGGCCUGAGAGGGUGUACGGCCACAUUGGGACUGAGAUACGGCCCAGACUCCUACGGGAGGCAGCAGUGGGGAAUAUUGCACAAUGGGCGCAAGCCUGAUGCAGCGACGCCGCGUGGGGGAUGACGGCCUUCGGGUUGUAAACUCCUUUCGCUAGGGACGAAGCGCAAGUGACGGUACCUGGAGAAGAAGCACCGGCUAACUACGUG
rnacentral:rRNA from 1 species